GACGAACGCUGGCGGCGUGCUUAACACAUGCCAGUCGAACGAUGACGACCGAGCUUGCUCGGUCUGAUUAGUGGCGAACGGGUGAGUAACACGUGAGCAACCUGCCCUUCACUCUGGGAUAACCUCGGGAAAUCGGGGCUAAUACCGGAUAUGAGCUCCUGUCGCAUGGCGGGUGUUGGAAAGUUUUUCGGUGAAGGAUGGGCUCGCGGCCUAUCAGUUUGUUGGUGAGGUAGUGGCUCACCAAGGCGAUGACGGGUAGCCGGCCUGAGAGGGCGACCGGCCACACUGGGACUGAGACACGGCCCAGACUCCUACGGGAGGCAGCAGUGGGGAAUAUUGCACAAUGGGCGAAAGCCUGAUGCAGCGACGCCGCGUGAGGGAUGACGGCCUUCGGGCUGUAAACCUCUUUCAGCAGGGAAGAAGCGAAAGUGACGGUACCUGCAGAAGAAGCGCCGGCUAACUACGUG
rnacentral:rRNA from 1 species